GCUGGGCACGGUGGCUCAUGCCUGUAAUCCCAACACUGGGAGGCUGAGACAGGUGGAUCACCUGAGGUCAGGAGUUCAAGGCCAGCCUGGCCAACAUGGUGAAACCCCGUCUUUA
rnacentral:sRNA from 1 species